AUUGAACGCUGGCGGAAUGCUUUACACAUGCAAGUCGAACGGCAGCACGGACUUCGGUCUGGCGGCGAGUGGCGAACGGGUGAGUAAUACAUCGGAACGUGCCCAAUCGUGGGGGAUAACGUAGCGAAAGCUACGCUAAUACCGCAUACGAUCUAAGGAUGAAAGCGGGGGAUCGCAAGACCUCGCGCGAUUGGAGCGGCCGAUAUCAGGUUAGGUAGUUGGUGGGGUAAAGGCCCACCAAGCCAACGAUCUGUAGCUGGUCUGAGAGGACGACCAGCCACACUGGAACUGAGACACGGGCCAGACUCCUACGGGAGGCAGCAGUGGGGAAUUUUGGACAAUGGGCGAAAGCCUGAUUCAGCCAUUCCGCGUGCAGGAUGAAGGCCCUCGGGUUGUAAACUGCUUUUGUACAGAACGAAAAGGUUUCUACUAAUACUAGGAGCUCAUGACGGUACUGUAAGAGUAAGCACCGGCUAACUACGUGCCAGCCGCCGCGGUAA
rnacentral:rRNA from 1 species